rnacentral:rRNA from 1 species
CUAAGAAUAUUCCGCAAUGGACGGAAGUCUGACGGAGCGACGCCGCGUGGAUGAAGAAGGCCGAAAGGUUGUAAAGUUCUUUUGCUGGGGAAGAAUAACCGCAGGAGGGAAUGCCUGUGGGAUGACAAGAACCGGCGAAUAAGCCCCGGCCAACUACGUGCCAGCAGCCGCGGUAACACGUAGGGGGGCGAGCGUUGUUCGGAAUUACUGGGCGUAAAGGGCAUGUAGGCGGCUUGGAAAGCCUGGCGUGAAAGUCUGCAGCUUAACUGCAGGGGUGCGCUGGGAACUGCUGAGCUUGAGUGACGGAGAGGGAGCUGGAAUUCCUGGUGUAGGGGUGAAAUCUGUAGAUAUCAGGAAGAACACCGAUGGCGAAGGCAAGCUCCUGGCCGAUGACUGACGCUGAGGUGCGAAAGUGUGGGGAUCAAACAGGAUUAGAUACCCUGGUAGUCCACACAGUCAACGAUGUGCACUAGGUGCUGGGGCGGUAGCUUCGGUGCCGGAGCGAACGUGGUAAGUGCACCGCCUGGGGAGUAUGCUCGCAAGGGUGAAACUC